rnacentral:rRNA from 1 species
UACGUAGGGGGGCAAGCGUUGUCCGGAAUCAUUGGGCGUAAAGAGCGCGUAGGCGGCCCUGUAAGUCCGCUGUGAAAGUCAAGGGCUCAACCCUUGGAUGCCGGUGGAUACUGCAGGGCUAGAGUCCCGGAAGAGGCGAGUGGAAUUCCUGGUGUAGCGGUGAAAUGCGCAGAUAUCAGGAGGAACACCGAUGGCGAAGGCAGCUCCGCUGGGACGGUACUGACGCUGAGGCGCGAAAGCGUGGGAGCAACAGG